rnacentral:piRNA from 1 species
UAUGGUGAUCUUCAGGUUAGCCCUGAUAUUU